rnacentral:rRNA from 1 species
GACGAACGCUGGCGGCGUGCCUAAUACAUGCAAGUAGAACGCUGAAGCUUGGUGCUUGCACCGAGCGGAUGAGUUGCGAACGGGUGAGUAACGCGUAGGUAACCUGCCUGGUAGCGGGGGAUAACUAUUGGAAACGAUAGCUAAUACCGCAUAAGAGUAGAUGUUGCAUGACAUUUGCUUAAAAGGUGCAAUUGCAUCACUACCAGAUGGACCCGCGUUGUAUUAGCUAGUUGGUGAGGUAACGGCUCACCAAGGCAACGAUACAUAGCCGACCUGAGAGGGUGAUCGGCCACACUGGGACUGAGACACGGCCCAGACUCCUACGGGAGGCAGCAGUAGGGAAUCUUCGGCAGUGGACGGAAGUCUGACCGAGCAACGCCGCGUGAGUGAAGAAGGUUUUCGGAUCGUAAAGCUCUGUUGUAAGAGAAGAACGAGUGUGAGAGUGGAAAGUUCACACUGUGACGGUAUCUUACCAGAAAGGGACGGCUAACUACG